UACAGAGGUCUCAAGCGUUAAUCGGAGUCACUGGGCUUAAAGGGUGCGUAGGCGGACUCGCAAGUGCUUUGUGAAAUCCCACGGCUCAACCGUGGAAUGGCUUGGCAGACUGCGGGUCUUGAGGUUGGUAGGGGCCGCCGGAACUCUAGGUGGAGCGGUGAAAUGCGUAGAUAUCUAGAGGAACGCCAAAGGUGAAGACAGGCGGCUGGGCCAAUUCUGACGCUGAGGCACGAAAGCGUGGGUAGCGAACGGG
rnacentral:rRNA from 1 species